rnacentral:ribozyme from 14 species
AAAGCAGGGGGAGAGAUUAAAAAAGGGGGGUUAGAAAAAAUUUAAAAAAAAAAUUAGGGUGGAUUUUUUUUUAUUUUGGGGAUGAUUGAAAAUUAAAAAAAAAUAAACAGGGGAAAAGAAAAAACAA